rfam:Hordeum vulgare subsp. vulgare, WGS project CAJW01000000 data, contig: morex_contig_157483
AUAAUACUCCCUACAUUCCAAAAUUCUUGUCUUAGGUUUAUCUAGAAAUGGAUGUAUCAAAAUACUAACAUGACUAGAUACAUUUAUAUUCAGACAAAUUCAAGACAAGAAUUUUGAGACGGAGGGAGUAAUAC